rnacentral:lncRNA from 1 species
UUUUGGCCCGGUAAAAUCAGGUCUUGAGCCCUUUCUCCCCAAAGAUACCCAUGUAUUAACUCUCUACUGCCUGUGAGUAUUACAAAAAAUACAUUAUAGUGCUAAAUCAUAGAAAUUCCCUUUUCACUAACACAGAACAGCAAGAGUAAAACACUUAUUUUUUGGUAGUCCCUCUCUACUGUCAGGCACCUCCCAGACACACACUAUUCUAUAUCACUGGAAUAGGAACUUAAGAAAAUCUAGCCAGUUGAAUGGUAUUUUGACUGGAAUCACAUUCUCAGCUCAGCUUUCUAUUCUGCUCUGCUCUGGAGUCUAAAUUAGUCCCUGAAUCUUUCUCCUUAAACUCCUAUCAUUACUAAGAAGCCAUGUGUUUCAGCAGCUGCUAGCUGAUGCGUGUGCCUUCACUGGCAAGCAAAUGGUUUCUUCAGGUCGAAAAAGAAGCAGCAGCAGGGGAAAAUGGAAAUGCUGUAUAAUUUUAUUCUGUUGUCAAGGGUUCUGAUUAGUUCCUGUCACUAAAUUCUUGGGAAUAAUCCAUCUCCUCGAGGUUGCUUAUCAAGGACUGAAUAAUCCUUUCCCUGGGGUUCAGAUGGAAGGCAACUCCAGGGAACGCACCAGUGUUGUGCAAAG